GAAACUGUAGCUCAGUUGGUAGAGUAGUAGAUAUAUCUACAUUCGAAAAUAUCUUGAUUAUGUAUGGUUCUAGAACAUACUAGAGAGACGAUAGAAUUCGGGUCAUACCCGGUGGUCAUUGGUUCGAAUCCAAUCAGUUUCA
rnacentral:tRNA from 1 species